GGGGAUAUAGUUUACCAAGCAAAAACAGUGGGUUUGCAUCCCGCAGCACGGAGUGCAAGUCUCCGUAUCUCCA
rnacentral:tRNA from 1 species